rnacentral:rRNA from 1 species
CAGUAGCCGCGGGAAUACGAAGGGUGCAAGCGUUAAUCGGAAUUACUGGGCGUAAAGCGUGCGUAGGCGGUGAGUUAAGUCUGCUGUGAAAUCCCCGGGCUCAACCUGGGAAUGGCAGUGGAUACUGGCUCGCUAGAGUGUGUCAGAGGAUGGUGGAAUUCCCGGUGUAGCAGUGAAAUGCGUAGAGAUCGGAAGGAACAUCUGUGGCGAAGGCGACUAUCUGGGCCAACACUGACACUGAGGCACGAAAGCGUGGGGAGCAAACAGGAUUAGAUACCCCAGUAGUCCCUGUCUCUUAUAC